rnacentral:rRNA from 1 species
CCCUUAGAUGUCCUGGGCCGCACGCGCGCUACACUGAGUGUCUGAGAUACGAGUCUGCCUGGUCCGGCAAGGUCUAGGUAAUCGCUAAAAGACACAUCAUGCUUGGGAUAGAUUAUUGCAAAUAUUAAUCUUGAACGAGGAAUUCCUAGUAAGCGCAAGUCAACAGCUUGCGUUGAUUACGUCCCUGCCCUUUGUACACACCGCCCGUCGCUACUACUGAUUGGAUGUUUAAGCGAGGUUCUCGAACUGCUAGCGACUUAGCUUCGGUGAGGUCGCAGUGUGGGAAGUGAACCUUGCUUUGGUGUCUAGAGGAAGUAAAAGUCGUAACA